rnacentral:lncRNA from 1 species
ACUGGCGUAAACUCUCAUUGCUUGAUUCUUUGGGAAUGCAACACCAAUCGCUUCGUGGUUGUUGAAUACUCUUAUUGGGAUAUUAUCCACCAAAAAUCUGGCCAAUUAGAAAAAAUCCCCAAGAUGUCAGACAUAAACACUAAGUAAGUUGUUUAGACUUGGAUUAAAGUUCAAUUAGUAACAUACAUGAUGCGUUGAGAGUUCCAAACAAUAGAGUAGGUGUGGAACGACGAGGUGGGAUCAAACCAUAGGCGAAACUGUUGUUCUUUGUUGCCUUUUCCUUGAGAAUAGACAUUAGUGUGAACCG